CACACUCAUCCCUGCUCUGGCCAGUCCUACACUCACUCUAUUUUUCAUUCACUCACACUGUGAGACUGUGCCAUGCUGAGAGGUAGGAAUGAACAAUACAGUUACUCUGUUUCCUGUAGGUAAUUAUAUAUUGUCCGCUCUAUUUUUCAGGUGAAAAGAGUUAGCCAGCUAGUCGUUGGGACACAGGGAUCUCCUGCUGUACAUUGCCAUGUGAAAAGAGUUAGCCAGCCAGUCGUUGGGACACAGGGAUCUCCUGCUGUACAUUGCCAUGUAAGUGUGCAGUGGCCCCCAAGAGUGCUUCUGGUGGACUUGGUUCAAUUGGACCCCCCCUUUCCUUUUAGGGAACUGUUAUUAAUGAAUUUCUUAGGACAUUGGAUCAACGCUUAUGGAUUUACUAUUUGGCUUGUAUGUUUUAUUCACUUUGCACUUGUUUUUGAUCAUCUUAUGUAUUAUUGUUUUGAUAAAUCUAUGUACCAUGUG